UCAGAGUCAGAGUGUCGUCACAGU
rnacentral:piRNA from 1 species